rnacentral:lncRNA from 1 species
AGUCAAGAACCACAACAGAUUAGAGCUCAGGAAAAAUCCAUGGUGUGGUGUGUCUGGUUCUGAGCAGAUUCACUCGAGGUGAAUCAGAGCAGUUUGUCGGUACUUUAUGUACAUAUGAAGCCUUGAGAAAUAAAAGCAAAACGCAAUUGUGUUUGGACCUCACUGCUCACAUCCUGUCUGAAUUCUAAGAAACUGUGAGAUGAAGACUUCAGGGCAUCAGGAUAAAUUUGCUGCACGUGACUGAAAGCCAACCAGGGAGACUGAAGGUCAGGCUAAUGAGGGAAGCUGUGUGGGGGAGGUGCAGGGGUGUGAUGGAUUGGAGGGACCCUUAA